rnacentral:rRNA from 1 species
GAAAACUCCGGUGGUACGGGAUGGACCCGCGUCUGAUUAGCUGGUUGGCGGGGUAACGGCCCACCAAGGCGACGAUCAGUAGCCGGCCUGAGAGGGCGGACGGCCACAUUGGGACUGAGACACGGCCCAAACUCCUACGGGAGGCAGCAGUGGGGAAUAUUGCACAAUGGGGGAAACCCUGAUGCAGCGACGCCGCGUGAGUGAAGAAGCGUUUCGGCGCGUAAAGCUCUGUCAGCGGGGAAGAAACACGGUUCGCGAGAGCCGCGGACGGUACCCGACCAAGAAGCCCCGGCUAACUACGUGCCAGCAGCCGCGGUAAUACGUAGGGGGCAAGCGUUAUCCGGAUUCACUGGGUGUAAAGGGAGCGUAGACGGCGAGACAAGUCUGGAGUGAAAGGCCGGGGCCCAACCCCGGGACUGCUCUGGAAACUGCCUGGCUGGAGUACAGGAGAGGUAAGUGGAAUUCCUAGUGUAGCGGUGAAAUGCGUAGAUAUUAGGAGGAACACCAGUGGCGAAGGCGGCUUACUGGGCUGUAACUGACGUUGAGGCUCGAAAGCGUGGGGAGCAAACAGGAUUAGAUACCCUGGUAGUCCACGCCGUAAACGAUGAUCACUAGGUGUCGGGG